CGCGGGAUGGAGCCGUCUGGUAGCUCGUCGGGCUCAUAACCCGAAGGUCGUCGGUUCAAAUCCGGCUCCCGCAA
rnacentral:tRNA from 1 species